rnacentral:misc_RNA from 1 species
CACCGCUCAAGCCUAGCUUGGUAUUGGGCGCCGCGGUCCGCCGCGUGCCUCAAAUCGACCGGCUGGGUCUUCUGUCCCCUAAGCGUUGUGGAAACUAUUCGCUAAAGGGUGCUCGGGAGGCUACGCCGUAAAACAAACCCAUUUCUAA